UACGUAGGGUGCAAGCGCUAAUCGGAAUUACUGGGCGUAAAGCGUGCGCAGGCGGCUAUGCAAGACAGAUGUGAAAUCCCCGGGCUCAACCUGGGAACUGCAUUUGUGACUGCAUGGCUAGAGUACGGUAGAGGGGGAUGGAAUUCCGCGUGUAGCAGUGAAAUGCGUAGAUAUGCGGAGGAACACCGAUGGCGAAGGCAAUCCCCUGGACCUGUACUGACGCUCAUGCACGAAAGCGUGGGGAGCAAACAGG
rnacentral:rRNA from 1 species